rnacentral:rRNA from 1 species
CUAUGCGCCUUGCCAGCCCGCUCAGUCAGAGUUUGAUCCUGGCUCAGGACGAACGCUGGCGGCGUGCUUAACACAUGCAAGUCGAACGGUGAAGGGACUGGUUUUGCUGGUUCUGGAUGAGUGGCGAACGGGUGAGUAACACGUGAGUAACCUGCCCCCUUCUUCUGGAUAACCGCAUGAAAGUGUGGCUAAUACGGGAUAUUCUGGGUCUGUCGCAUGGUGGGCCUGGGAAAGAUUGCGCUUUUUGGUGUUUUGGUGGGGGAUGGGCUCGCGGCCUAUCAGCUUGUUGGUGGGUGAUGGCUACCAAGGCGGUGACGGGUAGCCGGCCUGAGAGGGUGGACGGUCACACUGGGACUGAGACACGGCCCAG